rnacentral:rRNA from 1 species
UACGAAGGGGGCUAGCGUUGUUCGGAAUUACUGGGCGUAAAGCGCACGUAGGCGGGUUGUUAAGUCAGGGGUGAAAUCCUGGAGCUCAACUCCAGAACUGCCUUUGAUACUGGCGACCUAGAGACUGGAAGAGGUUAGUGGAAUUCCCAGUGUAGAGGUGAAAUUCGUAGAUAUUGGGAAGAACACCAGUGGCGAAGGACGG